CAUUUACAUUGCAUCUUAUUUACUUGUAGAUACAUAUAAAUACACAGCAUUCUUGCAUUAAACCAUUACACAUUCAUUCAUCAUUUUAGUUUAGGUUUUAUAUUCUAUUAAAAUACAUUCUUUUAUUGAACAUGACGACCUCCCCCUCACUCUCGCCGCUCCUCCCUUCAUCUCCUCCCGCCGUCUCCCCCGCCAUGCUGGGCUCCGGAGGAAACCUUCGCCCUCAUCGACGCCUACCACGACAAGUGGUACUCCCUCGAUCGCACUAACCUCAAAGCCACCCACUGGCAAGAAGCCGCUGAUGCCAUCACUGCCCAGUGCCCUAACGCUUCCGCCACUGCCAAAACCGUCGUCCAGUGCCGCCACAAAAUGGAAAAACUCCGCAAACGCUACCGCACCGAAAUCCAACGCCUCUGCUUCCUCCCUCUCCCUCGCCUCAUCAAUAACUCCAUCACCACCUCACCCUUCUCCUGGUUCACUUCAAAUCCAUGGAUUCCAUGGAAGAAGGCCCCAACAAACCCCAAACUAACCCCACCUUCUGAAAAUAAAGGUGUAAGUAGAUUGCAAUGAAUCUGUCAUUUGGGUCAGCCUUUAAACAAGGGAGAUUGAGAGCAUGUGAAUGGAGAUGGAGAUGAAGCGCACUGUUGCAAAAAAACUUUUCUUAUUUUCAUGACCAUGCUUCUAAGGGCAAAAUUAAGUUGGCAAAGAGUUGUAAUGAGCCGUUGAGUAGACAGAUUCUUUUUCUUUACUUUGAUCUUACUUUGAGUUUUUUCUUCUUUUAAAUGUAAAAAGUAAGGAGGAAGUCCGGUUUUAUGAUCUGUUUUUCCUUUCAUUUCCUUGCUCGUUUUAGAAGAGACUGACUUAGUGUCCAGAUCUUGUCUUGAUCACAGUUAAAAUCAUCUAAAAUGUUUUAAUUUGACUAUGAAACAACUUAUGGAGAUUGUAUUUUGAUAUCCAAUGAUAUUCAUGAACUGUAUUUUUUGAAAAAAAUAGAUAAGAAAUAGUACUAAAACCACCAAAUAAUCUUUUACGCCUAUUAGUACCUCAUUAUUACUAUGUCGUUCACAUAUCAUAAUUUCUUAUGUGAUUGAAUGUAAAGGAAUUAACAUGCUCUUCUUCAUUUGUUUAUAUUUGAACUUUAUGCUAGGUAAAAAUGCUUAUGGCGGGUCGAGAUGAAAAUUAAUGGUCGAGAUAUCUCUGAAAGCAGAGAAAUUGAUAUUGCAGAGCAAGUAGAUUAUCUACUAAAGCAAGCCACUGGUGUAGAUAAUCUAUGCAACAUGUACGAAGGAAGAUUAAAUAAGCAUGUUAAAAUAGCGUACAACUUUAGAAGGUGGCGGGGACGAAAAAAAGGAAGGAGCUAUAGAGAAAGGAAAGCAGAAAGGAAACAGAAGAUAGAGAGAAGGAAUCUAGAAGAGAAGAGUCUGAGCAGAAAGGGGAGGAUUAAAGGGAGCUUCAAGAGGAUUUGGGAGGACAAUGCUUACCUAAAGAAAAACGAAGAGGCAAGAUUUCUCUUAUCCGACACACGAAAAAACGCAGAAGAGCGGAGGACAUAUAGGUCAGCUCCCUUUAUUUCAAAAAUUAACCACUUUCUUAUCUGUUUUUUAAGUUUUUAUUCAAUAAUUAAUUUUUAUACGAGGGUCAAAUGAUUUUUUAAUUUCGUUUUAUUAAUUUAUAUUAUCAGAAUUCUUUUCUAAGUACCUUUUUUAAUUUUUAUUCACCUUAUGUCGGUCCAAGCUUCAUACCCUAAGGAAUUUAGCCUCCUACAGUAAGCAUUUUAUCUUGUUGCCCUGUCGUGGGUUUUUUGUGUUAUGUGCUUCUUGCUUUUUUUAUCAUCCCAAAGUGGGUGGGUGUGAGUCUUUGUGUGCUUUUUCACACCAUCAUUUCUCAAAGCAAUUAAAGAAAAUAUAGAAGAGAGUUUAAAAAGUACAAUGAAAGAACCUUUAAAGGAAUUUAUACAUUUGAAAUGCCUCAACCACGAUUCUGCGAAAUUUAUAAAAGUCUAUGUUGGUACUAGAAGGAUAGACAAUCGAUAUCGUUAUAUAGCGAGUCGUGUAGCGGAAUAAAAUUAAUAAGUGAAAAGCAUGUUCGAUUACAAGUUAUAUAAAAUAGUCAGUUUUAAAAAUAAAUUUUCUAAGAGAAAAUUUAUCGAACAGUUGAUGUGUAUAAAACAGUAAAGAGUGUAGGGAGUAGAAAAAUCACACAGAUAAUUUUUAUACUGGUUCGAUUUAAAAGAAUCUAUGUCCAGUCGUUAAUGAUUAACAGUUUCACUAAAAAUCAGUUUCACAGUUUUACAAUAAGUGAAUGAAAAUAAGAUGAUGGAACCUUCCUUCAACAAACGAACCAGAAGCGAACAUUCUGUCAACUCAAAGAGAACUGCUCCGACUAUCGACACACGAAACGUGAACUUCUCCUAUUCACGAGAUCAGGCAGAGUAUCUUACUAACUCGAAGAUAAUCGUUCUGACUAUCGACACACGAAACGCGAGUUUUUCCUAUUCACGAGACUAGGCAAGGGACUUGAACUAACUUUUGAGAACUUUCUCGGACAAACUGUAAGUGAUAAUCGAUUAUUCAAGCUGUUACAGGUUUUUCAAAAUAACUUGGGCAGUUUUCAAAUAGACCUGUGAUAUUUGAUUAUUUGGAGUAAUAAUCGAUUAUUCCAGAACAACAUGGUUUUUCAGAGAAGUUUAAGAUAAACGAUUUUGCUUCUCAUAAUCGAUUAAAUACGUGAUAGUACCAAAAGUACGAGAUUUUACAUAUUUAAAGACAUUCUUAAUACAUUUAUACUCUAGAAAGUGCUUUUAAAAUAAAUUAUAAUAUCUUCUUUAAUUUAAUCUUCUUGCAACAUCAUCAAAACCAAUUUCUUUAAGAUUUACCAAUGCUCCUCAUUGGUAACGGUUUAGACACCCUUAGUUUAAUGUAAUUUGGUAUAAGAUACAAAUCUGGAGAAUUAGAAGUUAGGAAAAAAGUUUAGUUUUGGUAAAAUCUAGCAUGUUCAUAAUUCUACAGAAGUUCUGCAUAAUUAUGUAGAAAGUUGAGCGUUCGUUGUUGAUCGCUCGGUCAUGUUCAGGUACUCAAUCAUCAAUUGGGUUUGGUCUCACUUGGGAUUCAGACUUACUGUGUUCAGCCACUUAUGGGCCUGUUAAUGAUCGUUUCGUUAUGUUUUGGUAUUUGUUAUGAUUGUACCGUUCGGUCUCUUUGUGGUGCUCGGUCUUGUACUAUCACCCGGUCUCUUUGUAGUGCUUGGUCUUGUACUAGCACUCGGUCUCUUUGUAGUGCGUCUUGUACUAGCACUCUGUCUCUCUGUAGUGCUCGGUCCUCUACUAGCACUCGGUCUCUCUAUAGUGCUCGGUCUUGUACUAGCACUCAGUCUCUUUGUAGUGCUCGGUCUUGUACUAGCACUCAGUCUCUUUGUAGUGCUCGUUCUUCUACUAGCACUCAGUCUCUUUGUAAUGCUCAGUUUUAUACUAGCACUCGGUCUCUUUGUAGUUUUCGAUCUUGUACUAACAUUCGGUCUCUUUGUAGUGCUCGGUCUUGUAUUAGAAUUCGGUCUACCUUAGUAUUUGAUUUCAUUGGGAUGUUUGGUCUAACAAUAGUUCUUGACCUUGCUAUAGUAUUUGAAUAGGUUAUAGUAUUCAGUCUCUCUUAUAGUGUCGAUCCUUUAUAGUGUUCAUCCACUUCUUCAACAUUACCUAGUAGGGACCGCUCAGUCCCGUUCUUUAGAUAGUGAAAGAUCGUUCGGUCUCACAUUAAGUGUUUCGAUUUUAUUUAGAAGUAUUUUUGUCCAAGUUUUAAUAUUCGGUCCAUGCUCUAUGUGUCCGGUUGUUCCAAAGUUUGGCCUAUAAUUGUACUCGGCUCAUGUUGAGCCUUACUCUUCAAAUUGACCGUUCAAUCAUAUUCGUGAGUUCAAUCAUAUUCGUGAGUAGUGGGUUGUUACCGAUCGGUUUGACCUUAAUGUGAAGUAUUAUGCUCUUAUAGAAAUUAUGAUUGUGAAGAUAUGUUGAGUGUUAUUUCAAUUGUUUAUGUGUUAAGUAUGAGAAGUAAUGUGAUAUGGUAUGAAAAUUCUAAUGUGGUUAUGAAAGAGAAUUUUAAGGAGGAAUGUCUCAGUAGUGAUUUUCAAUGUGGUAGAAGUAUGAAUAUGGGAAACUCAAUCUUGGCGUUCAUCUCGACAUUCUAAUGAUCAUCAAUUAUCAAGUAGAGGAUGGUGAGGCAUGUCGUGAGAAUAGCAGGAGACCCUAGCCUAUGGGUUUUACCUUGACCAAAGGUGAGUGAUAAUGGGUUAACCUUGUGUGGCAACUGAUGGGUUUUCAGGUUACUUCACCCACGAGUGCACGAACGACCAUAGUUGCAUAUUCGUGCUAGUCCGGACAAUCAAAGUAAAGUGGUCGGUCAAUAUGUGUAUAUAUGUUUUAUGCAUGUGUAUGAGUGUUUAUCUGUUUAUUGAAUUGUAUGUUAACAUGAUUAUUAAAUUACACUAGCUUACCCUGUUUUCUGUGGUACGUCUUUGUACGUUGUUCGCUCUUUUGCAAUGAUCACUUUAAUGGUGUGAAUUUAGGAAUACAAUCUUUCAAUUGUCACAACGAGAGGAUGGGAGUGAAGCUUGCAGUAGGUUGAACUUUUAUUCUUCAGAUAAAGAAUUUUUGUUCAUAGUAAAUCUUAAGUUCUUGUUAUAUCAUUAUCCAUAUAAUGUUUUAUUUUAGUAGUUUAUAUUACUAAAUUGGGAUGUUACACACUUUAUGAAUAUAUAUAAUAUCAUUGUUAGUCAA